CAGAACCUCUGUGAUCAUGCUUCUGACUUCUUCUGUUCCAAAUUUAGGACAGAUCAGGUGGAUUCAUUUUUGGUGGAAGCUGUUUCUCUGAGUCAUUUGCAAAAAGUGCUCAUACGACAUGAUGGAGAAGGCUGCAGGGCAGGGAUGUACCUCAAGACAGUAACAGUCAAGGAAUCACAAGAUUCAGACAAAGAAUGGGUCUUUCCAUUGUGGAACUGGCUUGAUACUUAUCUGGGCUUAUGUGAGACUGCUUGUGAGAUUGUAACAGUUGGUAGAAGGUCGACUCUUAGUCCUGAAUUGCCUGAAAUCAACAUGAAGUCAUCAAGUCUCUGGAUAAUGGAUAUCACUGGAUCUGACUUAAGUGGUGAAGAGGAUCCAAUAAGCCUUUCUUUUACCUUCUACAGCAACCUGAGUCACAAAAAGUUGCCACUUCAAGUCAGAGGAAAAGCAAUUCAGAUCAAAAAUGAACUGGCAGAUAUUGGCUCAAUACAUAAAGUUCAGGUAACUGGCCCACACAGUGAGCUAAAACAACCAUUGCACUUAGAUUUAUUGCAUAUGAAGCACACAGGCACAAAGGAAGAGAUGUAUUUAGAUUUUGACUGCUGGUUCAACCCUAAGGAAGACAGAUGUGGAGCUGCCAGCUCUCUAUGCAGAUCAGGAGCCUUUGCCUGUUGUGGAAUAUGAAAGCCAUUUUCACACGGGAGACUUGAAGAAGGCAGAUGCCACUGGAGAGGUUUAUCUUCGUAUACAAGGAAAAAAAAGUGACUCAGGAAGAGAUGGCUUGACUUGAACAGCCUAAUCACUUUCUCUAGAGGGCAGGUAAAAUAAUGAGGAAAAAUGUGACUUAAUCUGUUAGUGUCUUUUUGUUAGAACUCAUGUUCUCAG
rnacentral:lncRNA from 1 species